rnacentral:sRNA from 1 species
GUCCAAACUCCUAAGAGCUAGGCUUAGGAAAUACCAUGUGUACAGUCAUCUUUCCAGCACCUGCACAAUAUCAUAAAAUCAUUGUCUUUGAGCUGAAGCGGUCCUAAAAAGUCAGCCUUUCCAUUUUACAGAUGAGAAAAUAGACCCAGAGAGGUUAAGUCACACAGUGGUUUGUGGCAAAGCUAGAAACAUAACUGUGGUCUCCUCUUCAUAGUUCUUUCCACUACACUAUUACAUUUCUCAACUCUGAAAAACCACCAUAAAGCAUAAUGGCUACCUAAAAUAAAUGGCCCAUUUCUAAAGUAGUUAGUAUUCCUAAACAAAUUUUAAGUAGCUCUGCUUCUCCAGUGACAUUUUGGUUUAAAGAAUCAAGGGGAGGCUGGGCGCAGUGGCUCAUCCCUGUAAUCCCAGCAGUUUGCAAGGCCGAGGUGGGCAGAUCACUUGAACCCAGGAGUUCAAGACAAGCCUCGGCAACAUGACAAAACCUCAUCUCUACAAAAAACACAAAAAUUAGCCAGGCCCAGUGGCAUGUGCCUGUAAUCCCAACUACUCAGGAGGCUGAGGUGGGAGGAUUGUUUGAACUUGGGAGGCUGAGGUAGGAGUGAGCCCAGAUCACGCCACUGCACUCCUGCCUAGGCAACAGAGCUAGACCCUGUCUCAAAAUAAAAAAGAAAGGAUAAAGGAGAUUUGAUUAAUAGAUUAAUAAAUUGUUCUUUCCUGAUUGGUUAUGAUGUUGAACUACUUCCCAAAUUAUGUAACCAAAUUUCUGUGUGGCUCUGGCGCUAUUAGGUCAAAACUUUGGGGAACUAAGCAUGAGAUAGCAUACUCCUGUUUCCUUCUCUGUCCCAGGGAAAUACAAAUUCCCUUUUGCCUCAAUUAGAGAAGGAUGUCUAUUCUUGCCACAAAUUAUGAUUUAUGUCCUGGUGUCAAAUGAAGAUAAGAAUAAGAUCAAAGAAAGGCAAGAUGAUUGUGGAAGAGAAAGAAAAAGGAUUAAUUUAGAUUUAUUUAACCAAGAAACGUUUAUUUCGUAUCUCCUAUUUCCAGGCUGAGUGCUAAGAAAUAAAAUGAUGAGUAGAGUAUAGCCUUUCUCCUCAAGGAGCUUACCCUCUAAUCAUGGGAGAGACAGACAUGUAACUAGUUAAACCAUAUUGUUUGGUGGCUUGAACCAUGCCAGUAGUAGCCACUAUUAAGGAAGGAACUGAAGGGCACUUACUGAUUUUGGUAAUAGUGGGAAAAAUCAGAGAGGAGGGAGGAUUUAGAUUGAAGUAUGUGCUUCUAUUUUAGAAGGGGCUGUAUUUACUAUGUUUAUUACUUAAAAGUUCAUAAAAGCCAAUAAUACGGGUUUGAGCUGUGUUAGUGAUGAGUUAACAAACAUAUCAGGAUUAUUUAACCUCCCUGAGCCCCUGUUCUCUAAAUGGGAGAAUAAUAACUCUACCUGAUUGAGUUCUUGGAAAAUAACAUAGUGUAAUGGAAAGAGCAGGCUUUGGAGGAAAAGAGGAUUUGACUUUGCAUCUCUAUCAAUUAAUUGUGUGACUUUGAGCAAGUUAUUUAACUCUCUGAGCUUCACUUUCCUUAUGUGCAAAAUGGAUAACACCAUGGCAUAAGACAAUCCCAUGAAGAUAAGAUAUAAAAGAAGAUAAUGUUUGAAAAGAAAUAAGGAAGUGGAUGCUUUGGAAGAAUUAAGCAGGCAGCUUUUUCUGGAAACAGCUGAUCUAUAUGCUACCAAGGAGAGAAUAGAAUACUCCAAAACCUUCAAGGGGAAAUAUUUUAAUUUUCUUGGUUACUUUUUCUCUAUUUACUGUGUUUGGAAAAUUUUCAUGGCUACCAUCAAUAUUGUUUUUGAUCGAGUUGGGAAAACGGAUCCUGUCACAAGAGGCAUUGAGAUCACUGUGAAUUAUCUGGGAAUCCAAUUUGAUGUGAAGUUUUGGUCCCAACACAUUUCCUUCAUUCUUGUUGGAAUAAUCAUCGUCACAUCCAUCAGAGGAUUGCUGAUCACUCUUACCAAGUUCUUUUAUGCCAUCUCUAGCAGUAAGUCCUCCAAUGUCAUUGUCCUGCUAUUAGCACAGAUAAUGGGCAUGUACUUUGUCUCCUCUGUGCUGCUGAUCCGAAUGAGUAUGCCUUUAGAAUACCGCACCAUAAUCACUGAAGUCCUUGGAGAACUGCAGUUCAACUUCUAUCACCGUUGGUUUGAUGUGAUCUUCCUGGUCAGCGCUCUCUCUAGCAUACUCUUCCUCUAUUUGGCUCACAAACAGGCACCAGAGAAGCAAAUGGCACCUUGAACUUAAGCCUACUACAGACUGUUAGAGGCCAGUGGUUUCAAAAUUUAGAUAUAAGAGGGGGGAAAAAUGGAACCAGGGCCUGACAUUUUAUAAACAAAAUGCUAUGGUAGCAUUUUUCACCUUCAUAGCAUACUCCUUCGCCCUCAGGUGAUACUAUGACCAUGAGUAGCAUCAGCCAGAACAUGAGAGGGAGAACUAACUCAAGACAAUACUCAGCAGAGAGCAUCCCGUGUGGAUAUGAGGCUGGUGUAGAGGCGGAGAGGAGCCAAGAAACUAAAGGUGAAAAAUAUACUGGAACUCUGGGGCAAGAGAUGUCUAUGGUAGCUGAGCCAAACACGUAGGAUUUCCCUUUUAAGGUUCAUAUGGAAAAGGUUAUAGCUUUCCCUUGAGAUUGACUCAUUAAAAUCAGAGACUGUAA